CCUACGGGUGGCAGCAGUGGGGGAUAUUGCACAAUGGAGGGAACUCUGAUGCAGCGACGCCGCGUGAGGGAAGAAGGUUUUCGGAUUGUAAACCUCUGUCUUCGGUGACGAAACGAGACGGUAGCCGAGGAGGAAGCCACGGCUAACCACGUGCCAGCAGCCGCGGUAAUACGUGGGUGGGAAGCGUUGUUCGGAAUUACCGGGGUAAAAGGGAGGGUAGGCGGGAAAGCAAGUUGAAUGUUUAAGGUAUGGGCUAAACCUGUAAAAGCGUUCGAAACUGUUUUUCUUGAGUGGAGUAGAGGUAAGCGGAAUUCCUAGUGUAGCGGUGAAAUGCGUAGAUAUUAGGAGGAACACCAGUGGCGAAGGCGGCUUACUGGGCUUUAACUGACGCUGAGGCGCGAAAGCGUGGGUAGCAAACAGGAUUAGAUACCCGAGUAGUC
rnacentral:rRNA from 1 species